AUGUCUUUUUUUUGGGGGGUGGCGGGGGUGGGGGGAGAAAUCCUCUCUAGAGCCGUAAGCGGAUCGGCCACACGGAGGAAGCAUUUGGGGGCUCAGGAAGAAAUUAGCGCAGCUCCAUACCUGUACGGACUACAUAACUUUUAAACUACUGGACUCAAAGGAUCCACAUACACACAGGUACAGGAAAUACAGUCAGACCAAAGCCUUUUCAGACCCAAGCUGACCGGAAGACGUUGCCUUUCAUUCAUUCAUUCUGCCCGCGUCUGUGGAGUCCUUUACUAGGCGAGAAGCCCUAGAAGAGAAGUUGGACAUUUUUUAAAGGUCCCUGCGCUCUCCAAGAAGAGGAAAUAGAUGCUCAGGAGUGAACUACCGAGAGAAUCGGAUCUGGCGCCUCCUAACGCAGCUGGCAAACAUGCGAAGGACCCUUCUGUCUCUCCAUGUGGUCGGUCUCAUGGUAUCCCCAAAAGCUGGUGUCAAGAGAAGACCCGAUGGCAGACACCUUAGUGUAAAAACAGUUAAGUCCAUAUAUCACCUGGAUGGGGAGUUCUGGCCUGUCAGAGUGGGAAGGGGUUGGGUAGUCACCUAAUUUAAUCCUGUCCCUUUACAAACCGCCAGGAAACCACAGACCAGAGAAAAGAAUGGGCCAACCAGGGGUUUGUUC
rnacentral:lncRNA from 1 species